AAUGUUUGACACCGUUGACUUUUUAGCACGUGUUUGACCAUUCGUCUUAUUCAAAAAAUUUAAGUAAUUAUUUAUUCUUUUCAUAUCAUUUGAUUCAUUAUUAAAUAUACUUUCAUGUACACAUAUAGUUUUACAUAUUUCACAAAAUUUUUUAAAUAAGACGAAUGGUCAAACACGUGCUAAAAAAUCAACGGUGUCAAACAUU
rfam:Oryza nivara chromosome 2, whole genome shotgun sequence.